ensembl:snoRNA
UCCCGAUGAUGAGUUGCCAUGCUAAUACUGAGCCACCAGCCAGGCUGCUCCUGCCUGGUUUGGGUGCCAGUGAGUUUAACAAGACUUCUCACGUGGAGACCUGAGGGAC